AUUGAACGCUGGCGGCAGGCCUAACACAUGCAAGUCGAGCGGAUGAAGGGAGCUUGCUCCUGGAUUCAGCGGCGGACGGGUGAGUAAUGCCUAGGAAUCUGCCUGGUAUGGGGGGAUAACGUCCGGAAACGGGCGCUAAUACCGCAUACUUUCUGAGGGCGAAAGUGGGGGAUAUUCGGACCUCACGCUAUCAGAUGAGCCUAGGUCGGAUUAGCUGGUUGGUGGGGUAAAGGCCUACCAAGGCGACGAUCCGUAACUGGUCUGAGAGGAUGAACAGUCACACUGGACCUGGGACACGGUCCAGACUCCUACGGGAGGCACCCGUCGGGAAUAUUGGCCGAUGGGCGCAAUCCUGAUCCAGCCAUGCCGCGUGUGUGAAGAAGGUCUUCGGAUUGUAAAGCUCUUUAAGUUGUGAGGAAGGUAAGUAACUUAAUACCGUGCUGUUUUGACGUUUCCCACAGAAUAAGCACCGGCUAACCUCGUG
rnacentral:rRNA from 1 species